GGGUGCGUAACGCGUAUAGAACCUACCUUUUACAGAGGAAUAGCCUUUAGAAAUGAAGAUUAAUGCCUCAUAGUAUUGUAGACUGGCAUCAGUUUAUAAUUAAAGAUUUAUCGGUAAAAGAUGGCUAUGCGUCCUAUUAGUUAGUUGGUAAGGUAACGGCUUACCAAGACAGCGAUAGGUAGGGGUCCUGAGAGGGAGAUCCCCCACACUGGUACUGAGACACGGACCAGACUCCUACGGGAGGCAGCAGUGAGGAAUAUUGGACAAUGGAGGAGACUCUGAUCCAGCCAUGCCGCGUGUAGGAAGAAUGCCCUAUGGGUUGUAAACUACUUUUAUACAGGAAGAAACACUGGUAUGUAUACCAGCUUGACGGUACUGUAAGAAUAAGGACCGG
rnacentral:rRNA from 1 species